UACGAAGGGGGCUAGCGUUGCUCGGAAUCACUGGGCGUAAAGCGCACGUAGGCGGGUCGUUAAGUCGGGGGUGAAAUCCUGGAGCUCAACUCCAGAACUGCCUUCGAUACUGGCGAUCUUGAGUCUGGGAGAGGUGAGUGGAACUCCGAGUGUAGAGGUGAAAUUCGUAGAUAUUCGGAAGAACACCAGUGGCGAAGGCGGCUCACUGGCCCGGUACUGACGCUGAGGUGCGAAAGCCAGGGGAGCAAACGGG
rnacentral:rRNA from 1 species